rnacentral:misc_RNA from 1 species
CUUCCAGCGGUGGUCUGUAAAUUAUUCAGAGCCAUAAACCAAAAUGGAGGUGUGACGUAUAUACAUUGCACUGCUGGACUAGGAAGAGCUCCUGCUGUUGCAAUGGCAUACAUGUUUUGGGUUCAGGGCUACAAACUUGGUGAAGCUCAUGAUUUACUUCUGAGUAAGCGUUCAUGCUUCCCCAAGCUGGAUGCUAUAAAAAGUGCUACUGCCGAUAUAGUGAGUUGUUUCCCCUUCUCUUAUUAUUAUAAGAAUGAAGCCUUGAAUAUGGUUUUCUUUCAACAUAUUUUGAAUUCAUUUUUUCACUGUGUUGCGAAUGACUUAACAUUUUUAUUUUUUUGGUGAAAGUAAACCAUUAUGCAGUUUAUACAGCUGUGUGAUUGCUUUCCACCAUAUAGUUUCUGCAUAUACCUUACUAAGAAGUCCAAACGGCCUGCAGUUCUGAUUUGCAGCUAGGGUUCACCAGUUGCACAUGUAAUAGGUCAUCAUUUUACCAUGUGCAUUAUUUUUAAAUUUAAUGCUAAAUUUCAUAAUUUGAAAUGCUCUUGAUAAAACUUUUAAUGGAUUUUAUACUUUCGUCCAUUUUGUUUGAUGGGUUUACUUUCAGUGACAUUGAGGUGGGCAGGUCUUUCUAUAUGAUACAAUAGUCAAGCAAUUGUGUUUUGCAUUUCUGCAUGCUCUAAUUCUUAAUUGGCAAUUUUUAGGGUGUAUGAAAGCACUUAAGGAAAAUUUUAGCAAAAAUAACAUUGCAUGUUUCUUAAAAAAAAGUUUCUUUUGAAAGAAUUUAUGUUUCUUAAACACGUUUCUUUUGAAAGAAUUUCUGCGGUGGCAACUUGGAGAACUACCUAUGAGACUUGGUACAAAUGGACACUCCUUCACACGGAGAAUUGAAACUGUUCUUUUAUUUAUUUGUAUGUGAAAUUCUCCUGUCUAAAAAAUAAUGAUGGCUUUCAUUUUAAAAGUAUUUCAAUAAAUAAUUCUUUAUAUUAACUUUAUUUUUCCUUCCAAAGUACUUUAUACUUUUGUUUUCUGUUUGCCACCCUUAAUUUCACUAAUUGAUCAGUUAUAGGAGUAAUACUUUCUAAGAAUUGCAAGCUUAACGAUGUUACUUUCUGUCUUGAAAUUUUAACACCUUACAAACUACUUUAUUGCAUUUGUCUUAUUCAAAAGCUUACAGGUCUCAGGAAGAGGCUUGUUAAUCUGACGUGGAAAGGUGACAACUGCUCAACAGUGGAAAUUUCUGGACUUGAUAUUGGGUGGGGCCAGAGAAUACCUUUAAAAUUUGAUGAGGAAAAGGGAUUUUGGAUUCUCGAAAGGGACUUGUU